rnacentral:rRNA from 1 species
AGUGGAUGGGGAGCAACCUAGUUGUGCGUGUGUAAAGGUAGUGCCAAGAAAAGCGAUGAUCAUGUCGAAAAUCAAUUCCCGGUACCCGAAACCGACACAGGUGGGCAAGUAGAGAAUACUAAGGGGCGCGAGGUAACUCUCUCCAAGGAACUCGGCAAAAUGACCCCGUAACUUAGGGAGAAGGGGUGCCACCGAGAGGUGGUCGCAGUGAAGAGGCCCAGGCGACUGUUUAGCAAAAACAUAGGUCUCUGCAAACUCGAAAGAGGAGGUAUAGGGGCUGACGCCUGCCCAGUGCCGGAAGGUUAAAGAAGUUGGUCAGUUUUAGGAUGAAGCUAGCGACUGAAGCCCCGGUGAACGGCGGCCGUAACUAUAACGGUCCUAAGGUAGCGAAAUUCCUUGUCGGGUAAGUUCCGACCCGCACGAAAGGCGUAACGAUCUGGGCGCUGUCUCGGAGAGAGGCUCGGCGAAAUAGGAUUGUCUGUGAAGAUACGGACUACCUGCAUUUGGACAGAAAGACCCUAUGAAGCUUUACUAUAGCUUGGAAUUGUGUUCGGGCUUCCUGUGCGCAGGAUAGGUGGGAGGCGUAAAAGGUAUUCUUGUGGGGAUACUGGAGCCAACGGUGAGAUACCACUCUCAGGAGGCUAGAAUUCUAACUUAAUUAAGGACAGUUUCAGGUGGGUAGUUUGACUGGGGCGGUCGCCUCCAAAAAGGUAACGGAGGCGUACAAAGGUUCCCUCAGACUGGUUGGAAAUCAGUCGAAGAGUGCAAAGGCAGAAGGGAGCUUGACUGCGAGAAGUACAGUUCGAGCAGGGUGGAAACACGGUCUUAGUGAUCCGACGGUGCUGUGUGGAAGGGCCGUCGCUCAACGGAUAAAAGUUACUCUAGGAUAACAGGCUGGUCUCCCCCAAGAGUUCACAUCGACGGGGAGGUUUGGCACCUCGAUGUCGGCUCAUCGCAACCUGGGGCGGAAGUACGUCCCAAGGGUUGGGCUGUUCGCCCAUUAAAGCGGUACGUGAGCUGGGUUCAGAACGUCGUGAGACAGUUCGGUCCAUAUCCGAUGUAGGCGUGAGAAUAUUGAGAGGAGCCUUCCUUAGUACGAGAGGACCGGGAAGGACGCACCGCUGGUGUACCUGUUAUGAUGCCAAUUGUAAACGCAGGGUAGCCAAGUGCGGAGAGGAUAACCGCUGAAAGCAUCUAAGUGGGAAGCCCACCUCAAGAUGAGUAUUCUGGUGUAAGGUCACGGGAAGACGACCCGUAAAUAGGCACGAGGUGGAAGUGCAGAGAUGUAUGAAGCCGAAGUGUACUAAUAGACCGUCGGCUUGACC